rnacentral:rRNA from 1 species
AACGAACGCUGGCGGCAGGCCUAACACAUGCAAGUCGAACGCCCUGGCAACAGGGAGUGGCAGACGGGUGAGUAACGCGUGGGAACGUGCCCUUCGGUUCGGAAUAACUCAGGGAAACUUGAGCUAAUACCGGAUACGUGCGAGAGCAGAAAGAUUUAUCGCCGAAGGAUCGGCCCGCGUCCGAUUAGCUAGUUGGUGAGGUAACGGCUCACCAAGGCGACGAUCGGUAGCUGGUCUGAGAGGAUGAUCAGCCACACUGGGACUGAGACACGGCCCAGAGUCCUAGGGGAGGCAGCAGUGGGGAAUAUUGGACAAUGGGCGCAAGCCUGAUCCAGCCAUGCCGCGUGAGUGAUGAAGGCCCUAGGGUUGUAAAGCUCUUUCGCCAGGGACGAUAAUGACGGUACCUGGAGAAUAAGCCCCGGCAAACUUCGUGCCAGCAGCCGCCGCCG